CCUACGGGUGGCAGCAGUGGGGAAUAUUGGUCAAUGGGCGCAAGCCUGACCCAGCAACGCCGCGUGAAGGAAGAAUGCUUUCGGGUUGUAAACUUCUUUUCUGAGGGACGAAGAAAGUGACGGUACCUCAUGUAUAAGCCACGGCUAACUACGUGCCAGCAGCCGCGGUAAUACGGAGGUGGCAAUCGUUAUCCGGAUUUAUUGGGUGUAAAGGGCGUGUAGGCGGGAAAGCAAGUCAGAUGUGAAAACUCAGGGCUCAACCCUGAGACUGCAUUUGAAACUGUUUUUCUUGAGUGCUGGAGAGGCAAUCGGAAUUCCGUGUGUAGCGGUGAAAUGCGUAGAUAUACGGAGGAACACCAGUGGCGAAGGCGGAUUGCUGGACAGUAACUGACGCUGAGGCGCGAAAGCGUGGGGAGCAAACAGGAUUAGAUACCCUAGUAGUC
rnacentral:rRNA from 1 species